CGGGCCCACACAGGCCCAAGGUGAUAAAACGGGUGACCUCGAUGUGACCGCCACUGGGGUUUUUUUCUCUCUGGGCCCGCAGCCAGGAUCCUGGAUUCAUAGCUCUAGAGCAAAUUCAAGUGCAGCUUUAGCCUUUCGUACUCAGUCUCCAUCGACCUGUCAGAGACAUCACAGUGAUUGACUGCCCUGGCAGAUGUGCCGCUAUAACAGCAAGAGUUCUAUCAAGAUCUCUGCAAGCCCAGGGCAUUGAGAAGUUGCUGAAGAACAUUCAUCUCAACUUGAGCCUGAAGAUCUUCUAAGCUGCAAUAGCUUUUGGCAUAGAUAGAGAGGAACCCAGACUACUGGUUCAAAAUCUACCUUUCAGGCAGCUGCAGUAGUUGAAAAGAUUCCCAAGUACAUGGAAAAUACCAAAUUCCUUUGGUAGCCAUCAAUGUUCUUCAUCUGGUCCUCAAAAAAAGCUGUUGAAGAGUGAUAAAAUCCCACCCAAGAGUGAAAUGCACCUCACUACACAUGUAAUAACUUUGCUGGCUUAUGAUUGUACUUACAUGACUAAGGACUCCCCAUCCUAACUCCUUUUCCCACUGUACAGUUCUUUACCAUUCAUAUAGUCACCCACGUUCAUCCUGAGUGAUGUUUGAAUUGAGAAAGGCUAUGGAAAGAGUCUCAAGAUGAUUCUCAGUGUCACUGUAGAGUUCACUUGAGGAGCUGAUGGCAAGAUGCACAGCAAUUCCUAUUUCUUCUGUAUCAAAAUAUCACUUAUCUUCAGCCAUGAACUGGAGUACUUAAUUUCUGAAUCAAGAUGAUUAGCAUGCCCAAAUCAUUUUUUAAAUCUUCAUGUGUGUAAUUCCUCAAAAAAAUUGUUGAUACAUAUUGGAAGUAAAGAGCUAGUCUGACAUUGUGA